rnacentral:ribozyme from 1 species
AGAAGAAGGAGGAGAAUAUGAGCAACAAGAAGAAGACGGCAGAGGAAUGUAUGAAAGACAGCAGCAACAAGUCUAUGAAACCCAUGAGCCUGUAGCUA